rnacentral:rRNA from 1 species
AUGGUAAUUUGCGUGGAUAAGGAGUGCUAUUGGCACCACUGCGGUACGCAUCGUUGAGUGUUGCAAGGAGACGCGAACAUGACAUACUUCCAAGUGACCGCCAACGGCCCUAGACGUCGCAACACCAUCCCCUUUCUUUGGGUUGGUGACGCACUUCUCAAUGACCCGUCGGCCAUCCGCGCCCACGUGGACGGGUUCUACAAAGACCUGUUCUCCCCGUUGGCUCUAGGUGGGGCAGCCCUCGCCCCAGAUAUUUGCCCCCCCCACCACCGAGUCUCUACCGACACCAACGUGGCUCUCAUGGCUCCUUUCGAGGAGGAUGAGGUGUGGGCGGCGGACAAGGGCAUGAACCCUGAUUCCACUCCGGGCCUCGACGAUCUCGCGGUGCGCUUCUUCCAUGUGUUCUGGCCGGCCAUGAAACACGAGCUUAUGGCCAUGUUCCAGGAGUGUUUCGUGGGAGUCUUACAUCUAUCAUGCCUCAACUACGGGAUUAUAACUCUUAUCCCUAAGGUGCUGGGCGCAUUGGGCAUCUUACAGUUUCGGCCGAUCAUAGUGAUCAAUGUGGUCUUCUGCAUUAUUGAAGGAAAUAUGACCUAG